rnacentral:lncRNA from 1 species
CCGGCGUGGAAUCGGUGGCCGGGCAGCUCACCCAAGGCGGACCAAGUCGAGCUCUAGCUGAGGAACCACUGAACUUACAGUUAACCUUGACAGAGUGACCCUCCCUGGGGCUUGUCCCGUACUCUGAGAAAGUAAUGUCUUCCCUUUAGCGUCAGCAGCCGGGCAGUGGACCGGGGUCGGCAGGGGACACUGGUCAGGCUGCGCGGAGAGGGAACGCUCCACAGACAGAGCGGAGUGAGGGCCAGGGGCUGCGAGGUGACCAGAAGUUUUCGAAACCGAUGGAGAAAAGGAUGGAUCUAAUAACGAGGGAAAACAACCAGAA